rnacentral:rRNA from 1 species
CCUAUAAUUAACAAUAUAGGGUGAAACCUGCUCAAUGGCUAUGUAUAAAAAAUAAUAGUAGUUAAAUAGCCGCGGUAACUCUGACCGUGAUAAAGUAGCAUAAUCACUCGUCAUUUAAUUGGUGACUGGAAUGAAUGGUUAAACGAAUCCCCAACUGUCUCAAUGAUUAAAUUUAUGAAAUUAAAGUAAUAGUGAAGAUGCUAUUUAUUAAUUGUAAGACGAAAAGACCCUAUCGAGCUUUACUAAAAGCUUAGAGUUCUACAUUACUAAUAAAAUUAUUCUAAACAGCCUCUAAGCCUAUUAGUUUGGUUGGGGCGACCACCUCUAAAAUAGUAUCAGAGGUAACCUAAUGGUCAUUUAUAAAUAAGAUAAAGGCUUAACUGAAUACAUACCUGUUAACCAGUUACUAAUUGUAGGGUAUAAUGACCCGUUGGGUUAGUUAUUAAACUCAACGAAUAUGAAAAAAGUUACCGUAGGGAUAACAGGGUAAUAUUUCUGGAGAGUUCUCAUCGAUAGAAAUGUUUGCCACCUCGAUGUUGAAUUGCGAUAACCUAAAGGUGUAGCAGCUUUAAAGGGUUGGUCUGUUCGACCAUUAAAAUCUUACAUGAUUU